rnacentral:lncRNA from 1 species
GAUGUGGAACUUUGUGUUGGCCUGCUGACUCAGCUCUUCUUUCCAGGGAUUCAUUCCCAGGCCACCACACUGGAGACUCUGUGUCUCUAGCAAUUGAAACUUGCUUUCUUAUUCCUAACCAGUUCGUUUCUUCCUUCCCAAAGGAAAUUACAAUACUUUCUAUGACAAAAAUCUCAACAACUCUAACUUUUUAAUUGAAAAUAGAUUUUUAAUAGUCUAUUUUGAUUAUGGUUUCUCCUCCCCCAACUCCUCCAAAAAUCUCCUUACUCCCCACCCAGCCCAAACAGGACCCUUUCUUUUUCUCUCUAAUUAGGAUAUAAACAGACAAUUCAAUGAUAAUAAAAAUUAUCUUGAUGAUGAUGAGAAAAUAAUAACAUUAAAUAAAAGCAAAGAAGCCAGAAUAGGACAAAACAAACAAACAAACAAAAAAAAAAGAAGAUAAACAGCCAAUUAAAAACUCAAGAAACACAUAAAGUCACAGAAACACACAGGUUCCAUAAAAACCACAAAGCUGGAAACCAUAAUAUAUAUGUAAAGGAUCUAUAAGGGUUUUUUUUUUUUUCAAAAAAAAAAAAAAAAAAAAAGCCCCUAAAAGGCAUUAUAUGACAAAGAGCCAUCAAAAUGCCAUUGAACUAGUUUUGUGUUGGUAUUGGCCAUGUACUGCUGAGAAUGCUACCUACCCUUCAGUGUGGUUAGUAUACUCAGUGAAAAUCUGUUACACAGAUCUAAUUAUUCAGUUGCAAGUACUUUUUAAUUGGAGGUAGCUUCUGAGCUAGGGAUGUGGCCUUUUGUUCAUGUCCUCUCUCAGCACUCUCCAGGUCUAGUCUCAUGCAGGGCCUGUGUUUGCUCCAAUAGUUCUAUCCUGCUUUGUUUAGAAAUCCUUGUUUCCUUGUGUCUUCUGUCCUUUUUGGCUCUUACAUUCCUCCAGCCUUCUCUCUGACAGAGUUCCCUACAUCCUGAGGGGAGGGAGGGGUUUGAUGGAGCCAUCCCAUUUGGGACUAGGUGCCUCAAGGUAUCAUUCUCUGCACACUGUCUUGCUAUGGAUGUCUGCAUUUAUUUGUUCUUACUAACUGCAGGAGGGAGUUUCUCUGCCACCCUUUUUCAGUAGAAGAGUGGAUGUUGGUUUUCCCUUAAGUCCUCAGCCUAUGUGCUUUCACCUUCUUGUUCUCCUGAGCAGUGUCAGGGAAGGGUUCCAUCUCAUGGAGUUGGCUUUAAGUCCAAUCAGCUUUCUGUGGACUACUCCUACAAGGUUUACCCCGGUUAUAUCAGCAUACCUAGCAGGCAAGUCACCAAUGUAGAUCAAACAGUUUGUAGCUGGGUUGUUGGUAUUUACCUUUUUCCUUUGGUGGCUUGCAGAAAUUGUAUUCAUCAGGGAUGAAGGAUUUAGGCAGGCACCAACUUGACUUCUGUGUAAUCAAUGAAUUCUGUACGUGUUAUCUAAGCAACAGAGCCUUGCUAUCAGUUUGUGGAUAGCAACCAACAAUCUUGGCAAAAGUGUGAGUUGAUUGGGAUUUCCCCUGGAACCCCUUUGGCUAACUUGUCAGUUUUAUGUAAUCCAUUUUUAGAAGUAUAGGUUUGAUUGGUGACUAGAGAUGUCUAGGUGGGGCACUGUCUCCGGGUUGCUGAUGCCAUUUAGAUGACCUUCAUAUAUGUAUGUAUACAUUAUAGGAAUUUUCUACUACAUUCCCUUCGUAUGGCCCUUAGUUCAGUUCUCCUUCCCUAUACUCCCUAUAUGCUCCCCACUUUAAUCCUACAUUUUAGCCACCACCAUCCAUCCAUAACUGUCUAUUCUAUUUCCCUUUCCUGGACAGACAGAAUCCUCCCAUCUAUUCCCUUAUUCGAUAUCUAUUACAUAAGAAUAUCUAAGAAAAGGGUUACACUUCAUAAGUAGAGAAGCAUUUGUGGUGUUAAGUGAAGAAGACUUAGAAUUGUCUUUAUCUUAGUUACUUUUCUAUUACUGUGAACAGAUGCCAUGACCUACUUAACUUCUAAAGUCUUUUUACUGGCUUGCUUACCGUUUCAGAAAGUCUUCGGCUGGCUAGAACAAUGGUGUGAACUUACAGCUUACAUCCUAUUCUACAAGUGAAGGCAAAGAGAAGGAGGAAGGGAAGGAGGGAGGAAGGAAGGCUGGGCCUGACAGCAUGUGGAGGUAGACAGGCAAGCAGACAAACAAAAACAAAAAC